GACGAACGCUGGCGGCGUGCUUAACACAUGCAAGUCGGACGGAAAGGCCUGCUUUCCCUUGUGGAUUGCGGGUACUCGAGUGGCGAACGGGUGAGUAACACGUGAGUGAUCUGCCCCCAACUUGGGUAUAAGCCUGGGAAACUGGGUCUAAUUCCCGAUAGGACUGCAGGGUGGUGCCUGUGGUGGAAAACGAUUUUCUAGUGGUUGGGGAUGAGCUCGCGGCCUAUCAGCUUGUUGGUGGGGUAAUGGCCUACCAAGGCGGCGACGGGUAGCCGGCCUGGGAGGGUGGACGGCGAGAUUGGGACUGGGAUACGGCCCAGACUGCUACGGGAGGCAGCAGUUGGGAAUAUUGGACAAUGGGCGGGAGCCUGAUGCAGCGACGCCGCGUGGGGGAUGACGGCCUUCGGGUUGUAAACCCCUUGCGAACGAGAGGAAGCCACCUGGUUGGAAGGGUGGUGACGGUAGUGGUAGAAGAAGCACCGGCUAACUACGUG
rnacentral:rRNA from 1 species